rnacentral:rRNA from 1 species
AAGCUCGUAGUUGAAUUUCGGGCCUGGCUGGACGGUCCGCCCUUCGGGUGAGUACUGUCUGUGGUCGGGUCCUACCUUCUGGCGAAGCGUCAUGGCCUUAACCGGGCCGUGGCGGGGAACCAGGACUUUUACUGUGAAAAAUUAGAGUGUUCAAAGCAGGCAAUCGCUUGGGUACAUUAGCAUGGAAUAAUGGAAUAGGACAAUGGUUCUAUUUGUUGGUUUCUAGGACCGUUGUAAUGAUUAAUAGGGAUAGUUGGG